AGGAGAAGUAGCCUUGGCUUUUUUGUACAAUCAAACUCUAUAGAGAUUGAAAUAUUAAAGCUUAAGACGACAUAGUUAUAGUCCUAGUCAGCAGCAGCUGCAAUAAAGCUCUGGUUGCUCUGACGCAUUGUGGAAAAUGCAAAGUGCCUCUGUAGGCUAAAUAUUCAUUAAUCCACAGAUCAGACAGUCAUUCAUUCUCGCACGUAUCCAUUCACUCUUUCCAAUCACACAUCGAAAAACAGUUAAGAUGCACGCGCAUUUGUCUCUUUCCCGCAGAUGGACACCUCCACCUAGUGGAUUAUUCACAUGCCUACAUUCUGGUAACUAUGCGCAUGUUUUUAGAGACGGUGUUCUGAUCUUCCCAAGAGUUCUAAUGCAUAGAGAAACCUACCGAAGUGUAGGCUAGCCUACAACAGCAUAGGCUACUUUAUAAAGUUACGCUGUGACAUUGUUAGUCACAUGAGGAAGGCUACAUUGUUAUAACUGUAAAGAGAUAGGCCUACUUUUUGUUUGGGUAACCUAACAACAGACAGUACUCUGGAGACAGUUACAUUGUUUGAACUCUUCAAGGUCAACUACAGCGUUGGUCACUAUGGUAACAGAAUGACUCACAGGAAAGGGAGCAGGUCUCAAGCCAUCACUGUUGGGCUGGUAGUCUGUCUCUUUGUCAUCAUCACCAGCUCAUUUUAGCCGAUUUAAAUGGACUCAGGUCGUUCAGUCUCUGGCCGGAUGGACACUCUAAACGAUAUGGAGUAUUAUCAUCCAUAGAAAUGCACACCUUUCCGACUCAGAAGUUUCUGACGCUUCCAGCGUCUCUCGGAAACAGAGACCAUGACAUCAACUCUCAUUAUUUACCUUUGCACUGUGUCAGUAGUUACGGAGCCCUGGCACACAAUUAUGGAAAUUUGAGACUGUCUGGAGAAAAGCUGCCUGGUUCGAAGUCAAACCUCUUGGAACCGAAAAAGAAAUGCCCAAUACAAAACAGUCUGAAGUGUGUCAGUCAGCUGGAUGCAAAAUGUCCAGGGAGUGUUGGAUCUCCAAAGGCCAUAUUUCCCCCUGAGAAUAAUGUCCUAGAAAAGGACAAUUGUGGGAGGCAUUUCUUGUUUGACAGAAGAUGGAAAAAUGGAGAGUUCAAAGAUGAGAUGUACCUCAAAACAACCACCGCUGUGUCUCCUCUACCUCGGCCUUAUCAGGUUCAGAAAUCAAAUAAUUUUCAGCGAUUUUCACUACUGAGGCAGGCUUGUAAUAGCCCCUCUAAGACAUGUUGAAAUGUACCUAGUAAUUCAUAUCAUGGAUGGCUGGUGGGAAGGACACAUGUGCUUAUUUUGUCCUCCUCACGACCACACUCCAUUGUGUUGCUUUAACAGCAGCCUAAGCAGGUUUGCCCUUUUGAAGGUUAUGAUCUCACUUUAGUUCCAAGUCGUCUGUUACCAGCUACCUCAGCAGCCCCCGAAAAGUCGCUCUCGGUCGAAAUUUUUAAACACAGAUCAAGAAUAAGUAAUCGCAUGUGCAGCCUUUUUACUAUUGGUGCAAACCAUAAAAGUCAGUUUUUUCCUGAUCCUGUGGCGGGGGCGACAGCCUCCUUCAUCCAAAGGCUCUCUGAGAUCUCAUCACUGGAGGGGGAGACCAUCCGACAGGAGAAAAUGAAAAAGAUGAAGAAGAGCAGGAAACAGGACUAAUGGCCACUACUUCAGCUGACCCUCUCUGGGUACAGAUCUGGCCCUGAUCUGGCUUUAGUCUGGCAUGAGAGAGUGGAGGAACAUGGACAUCCCACACACAUGUGCCAGGGCAAAAAUCAUAAAAACACAGGGGGUCCAAACGCUGUUCAGUGGUCUAUAUAUAUAAAAAAGUUCAAUGUUUCAGUUACCAACCCUCAGAUGUACAGUGCCUGAACAAUUUUAACACCUGUUGUGCCUGAAGAAGGCCGUUGUCUGAAACUUGGUGGAGCACUCAACAGUGUGGGAAACCCCAUCUUCAUCCUGGCUCUGUGCAAGUCAGGAAGAUCUGGGCCAGGUCAAGACCAGAUCCGCACCAAAAGUCAGCUGUUAUGUGGGAACUUAUCACUGCCGUAGAACAAAACAGUGUUGUGCCAAAUCAACAUCUACAUGGAAGAAAUGCACUUCAAAGUACACUUCAAACUUUUUUUUUUUUUAAACAUCUUAACAUCUAAAAAGUAUUCAUCUCAUUUGCAGUCU